rnacentral:rRNA from 1 species
ACAUACGACCACAGGGUGUGGAAAAUAGGGCUUCCCGUCCGCUCAGCCGUACUCAAGCCACACGCCGGGAGGUUAGUAGUUGGGUGGGUGACCACC